rnacentral:rRNA from 1 species
AUUGAACGCUGGCGGCGUGCCUAACACAUGCAAGUCGAGCGGCAGCGCGGGAGCAAUCCUGGCGGCGAGCGGCGGACGGGUGAGUAACGCUUGGGAAUCUGCCUGUUAGUGGGGGACAACCCGGGGAAACUCGGGCUAAUACCGCAUACGCACUACGGUGGAAAGCCGGGGACCGCAAGGCCUGGCGCUAACAGAUGAGCCCAAGUCGGAUUAGCUAGUUGGUAGGGAACGGCCUACCAAGGCGACGAUCCGUAACUGGUCUGAGAGGACGACCAGUCACACCGGAACUGAGACACGGUCCGGACUCCUACGGGAGGCAGCAGUGGGGAAUAUUGGACAAUGGGGGAAACCCUGAUCCAGCGACGCCGCGUGGGUGAAGAAGGCCUGCGGGUUGUAAAGCCCUUUCAGUGGGGAAGAAAAGCCUCGACCUAACACGUCGGGGUCUUGACGUAACCCAUAGAAGAAGCACCGGCUAACUCUGUGCCAGCCGCCGCUGUAAG